AGUAAGAGAACAGAGAAAUACUUAAGCAAAAAAUAGCUAGAACACACACUAAAUACACUUUUAAAAAAAAUAGAGGAGAACUAGUUUCGAUUUUUGAGUUUGAUAUUCUGUUCGAAUUCCUUGGUCGCUGCUCGAGUCGGAACUUUUGUGGUUGAGAUUGUCGGUGCUCUCCUCGUUUUGUCCCAGAUCGCCGCCUCGGAAACGGUAUAUAACUUCACUUCUCUUUUAAGUCUCUCUUUGCUUAGCUGAUUCUGUGAUGACUAUUAUGAAGAUUAAAGUUCUUUGUUU
rnacentral:misc_RNA from 1 species